AUACGGAGGAUGCGAGCGUUAUCCGGAUUUAUUGGGUUUAAAGGGUGCGUAGGCGGUUUGUCAAGUCAGCGGUGAAACGCAAGGGCUUAACCCUUGACCUGCCGUUGAAACUGAUUGACUAGAAUGCGGAUGCUGUGGGAGGAAUGUGUGGUGUAGCGGUGAAAUGCAUAGAUAUCACACAGAACACCGAUUGCGAAGGCAUCUCACAAAUCCGUGAUUGACGCUGAGGCACGAAAGUGUGGGGAUCAAACAGGAUUAGAUACCCUGGUAGUCCACACUGUAAACGAUGAUAACUCGCUGUCGGCGAUACACAGUCGGUGGCCAAGCGAAAGCGAUAAGUUAUCCACCUGGGGAGUACGUCCGCAAGGUUGAAACUCAAAUGAAUUGACGGGG
rnacentral:rRNA from 1 species